GAUGAACGCUGGCGUCGUGCCUAAUACAUGCAAGUCGAGCGAACGGACGAGAAGCUUGCUUUUCUGAUGUUAGCGGCGGACGGGUGAGUAACACGUGGAUAACCUACCUAUAAGACUGGGAUAACUUCGGGAAACCGGAGCUAAUACCGGAUAAUAUUUUGAACCGCAUGGUUCAAAAGUGAAAGACGGUCUUGCUGUCACUUAUAGAUGGAUCCGCGCUGCAUUAGCUAGUUGGUAAGGUAACGGCUUACCAAGGCAACGAUGCAUAGCCGACCUGAGAGGGUGAUCGGCCACACUGGAACUGAGACACGGUCCAGACUCCUACGGGAGGCAGCAGUAGGGAAUCUUCCGCAAUGGGCGAAAGCCUGACGGAGCAACGCCGCGUGAGUGAUGAAGGUCUUCGGAUCGUAAAGCUCUGUUAUUAGGGAAGAACAUAUGUGUAAGUAACUGUGCACAUCUUGACGGUACCUAAUCAGAAAGCCACGGCUAACUACGUG
rnacentral:rRNA from 1 species